UAGGGAAUCUUCCGCAAUGGGCGAAAGCUUGACGGAGCAACGCCGCGUGAGUGAUGAAGGUCUUCGGAUCGUAAAACUCUGUUAUUAGGGAAGAACAAAUGUGUAAGUAACUAUGCACGUCUUGACGGUACCUAAUCAGAAAGCCACGGCUAACUACGUGCCAGCAGCCGCGGUAAUACGUAGGUGGCAAGCGUUAUCCGGAAUUAUUGGGCGUAAAGCGCGCGUAGGCGGUUUUUUAAGUCUGAUGUGAAAGCCCACGGCUCAACCGUGGGGGGUCAUUGGAAACUGGAAAACUUGAGUGCAGAAGAGGAAAGUGGAAUUCCAGGUGUAGCGGUGAAAUGCGCAGAGAUAUGGAGGAACACCAGUGGCGAAGGCGACUUUCUGGUCUGUAACUGACGCUGAUGUGCGAAAGCGGGGGGAUCAAACAGG
rnacentral:rRNA from 1 species